UGAGAAGGUCACAAGACAUGCCUGUGC
rnacentral:piRNA from 1 species